UGCGAUCCAUGUCAAAAAUUCUUACUUUAUAUUUUUCAAAAAUAUACGACUUUGGAAGUAAAUAUUGCCGUUCCUUAUCAAAUUAAUGAGCAGAUAUUCAUUGAAAUACUGUUUAAAGGACCUUUAACUGAAACAAAGCACAUGUAUCAGUCUGUAAAACAAAAUCCUGAACAAAAAACCGACUGCGUUUUGUAGUUUAUAAUUGUUGUGCUGGUUCCCGGCAGUGUACUUAACUACAUACGUAGUAAAAAUACAAGCGAAUACCAGUUGAUAAUAUUCCGUUUUUGAAAAGAAAUCUGAAUUUUUUUUUGGGACAUCACAUUUUGUCAGUAAAUAUAAGAACAUCAAAAUUAAUAGUGCAUUUCAAUAUGGAUAAGGUAAAUGAUUAGAGAUGAAAAGAUGAAAUGGCGCCAUC
rnacentral:lncRNA from 1 species